ACCAUCUGACACAAAGGUGAGAUUCCCCAUCCGGAAGAAGGAAGAAGGACCAUCUUUUACUGUAGCAGAACAAGAAAUAGCAAGCAGCUAGCAAAACACUGAAGGUGUGUCUAAGACCAUAAAUGAUCCUUUUAACUCACACAGCCAGUCUGCCCACAGACAACUCUGGAGACACAACAAUCCUGGCUGCGUUUGUUCUGAAGAUCUUGAAUGAGCUGCAUCACCAAAGGGUGACUCGCAACCAUGCAGCAGCUUCUCACCUGCCUGAUGGUGCUGCUCGGCGUAGGAAAGCCCAGAGCACCAGCUACGGGAUGUUGAUCACUGCAGCUGAUGGGGGAUGAAGGCUCUGAGCAUGAGGGCAGCCAGGAGGGACCCUCAGAGAGAGCCUGGGUCUCUAAGGGGCUGGGAUGAAGCCCCUGGGCUGGUGGGACAAAGCUCCUGGCCUUCUUGGGCAAGAUAUGAGGGAAAGCACUGAGCUGGAGAGAGCAGCUGAGCUCCCCCAGCCACACACCACAGAAACUGAGAAAAACCUCCUUCAGCCCCUGCUGUAGCACUGCUGAUGGCUUCAGGAGACGGAGCCAUGCUGAAGGAACAUAAAAUUCCUCCCACCAGCUCCCUGCUGCAAGUCUGGCAAUAAAUAAGAAACUAAACCCCGUCCUGGGAGUCCUUUCAUUGAGCUGCAAUUCGUUUUGCAUGGAGCAGCUCCACAGUCCCCCCGGCAGGCUCCCUUUGAACGUGCCCCUACACUAAAUCAGCUUUCCCAUGACCAGCCCUGACCGCUGGCUGCUCCCACCAUCCCUGUUUUAUUCCCCAGGAAUAUUUUCCAGGGCAGCAUUUGUCAAACCACCCUUCCUAACACCCCCAAACAACACAGUUUGGGUUAGCAAUGCCACGCAGCAAGGAGAUGGGGGUGUCUUUAGCCUCAGCGGGUUUUUGUACCAUUUUGCCUGCCUUGGAAGGGGCACAGUGGCAGGAGCCUGCUGGGCUUGCCAGAGACCCUGUACUUAUCAGGUGUUCCCCUCAUGGUGUGUCACAGGGGACAUGACAGAAGAUACCCAAAGCUGCCCCAUUUUCCAUCUCCAACCGCCCCACGUCUCCCUGCCGUGGGAGGGGCUGCAGCCCCCGCGCCUGCAGACCUGCAGUGCUCCCUCAAAUCUCCAGGUGCACUUUCAGCUCUGAAACUCAAAGAUUUCUCUAACUGGCAACCUGCAAGAUGCAAAAACGACCAUCUGGACAGGGGAUGUUGGUCCCAGAUACGACAUGAACAAGAUACAUAACUGAUGCCUCCAUGACCAGCAAAGGACAGGCCUGACUUAUCCACCCUCAAAAUGCAGAUAAAGAAAACAUGUCAAAGACAUGUGUGCACUUGAUCUUUCAGAAAGCCCAGUCUUUUGCUGUGCAGCUUGCUUCUUGUGUCUCAAGGCACUGAAAAAA